GGCAGACGCUCACUGCGACCUUCCAUCUUGACACCGUUAUUGGCGAGGUUUGAUUGUUUAUUUAUCUGGUUUUUGGUUAGAAACGAGCAGUUUAUAUCAUAACUGGACAAAUAACCAGAAAGUAUCUCUCUCCACGUGCAGUGUAGGAAAACAAGUAUACGCAUGUGCUGCUUUUAUAUUUUACCAAUGAAUGGAGAAAAAUGAAAAUAGACACUACGCUUUUUUUGCGGUCUACUGACAGCUGCCGGGCUCAAAGAUGGCAGGAAGUGCGGACUAUAAACAAGAUAAAGAAGGCCUCAAGGACCCAGUGGUUCGAUUCCACAGCUUCGUGCACGGUGGGACCUCCAGUUUGCUAUCCACCCUCCCCACCCUCAUUGUCUUCCCUGUCUACAAAAUUGUUUUCCGUCAACAAAUCCACAACACCCAGGUUUACACGGCAGUGCUACAGCUCUGCAAAGAGGGACCUGCAAAGCUCUACAGGGGCGUGGCCCCACCGUUACUGAUGAAGACCCUGAAUGGCACGCUGCUCUUUGGCCUCCAGGACACACUCCUCCGCCAGCUCUCCCUGUCAUCACAAAAUGUCAUCUCCACCUCUGCCCUUCCUGCCCUGGCUGGGUUUGGUGCAGGUAUGGUAGAAGCUGUGGUUUUUACCCCUUUUGAGCGUGUCCAGAAUGUGUUGCAAAAUGGCCAAAAUGACCGCCAUCUACCCACCCUGAAGAGUAUUCUUGUGAGGCUGAAGGCGCAGCGGCUGGCCUCGGGCUACUACAGAGCCUUUCUCCCCAUCACAGCCCGUAACGCUCUUGGUAGCUGCCUUUAUUUUGGCCUGAAGGGGCCGGUGUGUGCUGCCGUGGAGGGACAGGGGCUCAACCCAAUGGUUUCCUCCUUCAUCUCAGGGACGCUGACCUCCAUGGCAACCAGCUUGACUCUUUACCCACUGUCUGUGCUUGUGGCAAACAUGCAGGCAGAGGUGGGGGGGGAGGUGAAAGGGGUCAUGGCUUGUUGGAGGAUGCUGUGGAAAUCUCGGCAGCGGAGUGUGGCUCUGCUGUACAGAGGAGGUUCUCUGGUUAUUUUGAGAUCGUGCAUCACAUGGGGAAUCACCACUGCUAUCUACGACAGGCAGCAGAAACGUUCAGGCUGAAGAGACAUCGUUGACAAAUGUUUUUACUGUUGUUUUUAUCUGAAAAUUUAUAUUUUAUUUUAUUUUUGUCACUUGUGUUGUAUUCCUUAUCACUGUUUUUUUUUUUUUUCCUGGUGAGUAAACAUACAUGCUGCUCUUUCAAUUUGCAUUCAUCAGAAAAUACAUCCCAUCAUCCCCCCCUUCAUGAGAUGCUCUAACCAUAAGGCCUUUUUCACAGCUGACAUUUUGACUUUUUCAUUGUAGGGAAAUCACAGGCAUUAUACUCAUUGAAUGAAUGGCUGUGAUCUAUGCAAGUGUCCCAGUAAGCCAAGCCAGUGUAACAGUGGGCCAACAUGAACACUACUUGGAACCUUGGUGCCUUGUAUUUUUACUGUCUCAAAGAGGAAUUCCACCAAUUUUACAUCAAGUCAGUUUACUAAUCAUGGGAAGUACGACUCAGCCUAUGAAAACAGUUGUGUAGUUGUGUUUUGGACAUUUUUGCUUUUAACAUGUAGAAGAAAUUACAGGAGACUACAAUUAUAACAGAAACCCUGCAGUGCAAAUAAGGGUGGGAAUUUAGUUAAAGGCAGUUAUUUAACAGCCAGACAGGGUCUAAAAAAAUAGGUUACUGUAUGGAAAAAAUAGAAAUCAGAAUUGCUUGGGCUGGACUCAUAUAAGAGCCUAGAUGUGAGGAUAUUAGCCUUUUCAUCUGACUUUUUUGAAGUGCAAUACUAAAACAUUGGUAUUUCGUUUUAAGUGCAUACAAGGAGAUUGAUGCAUGAUUAUGGUGUAUUGUCGAGACAUUAUUUAAUGUUAUCUAUAAUAUAUAUAGUAUACUACGACCAUAAGUACUUUGCCUUACCACAAGAAUGUUCUGAUCCAGUAACUGUCUGCCAACAAUUAGCCUCAAAGUGCAUUAAAAAAUAUAUCCUAUCAGUCAUACAUUUAAGUUGUGUUUAUAAUGUGUUUUCGUGUAAUUCUAAUUUAUUUUGUCAAACCAUGUAAUGUCAUAACCAGUCCACUAGAUGGUACUGUGUUAAAAAACCGUGAUGACUUCCCAUUUUAAAGCAAAUCCAAAAUUGUUCCACGCAGAUAUGGGGAGGAACAAAGUCAUGCAUCAAGCGUGUCCAAUCAAAAUUCUUCCUCUAAACUUUGGGAGCCAAUGACAACCAGAGGAUCAGUGUCCAUGUUGUUGUUCAGGGCGUGUUGUCUCUACUUAAACCGUUGGCUUUGCGAGGACUACGUAGACGCAUUUUCUUACAACGGACGCUGCGCACCUCUGCCCCAGAAAUCUUCCAAAAUGAGCAACAAAUGUCCAGUCACUAAGGAGGUGCAGCAGUUCAAAAAGGAAAGGCUAAAUAGUGCUGAAAUGAUAGAAAAAAAUCCCCUCCCAACGGCACAAGUAAUUGAAGAAGAGAAGAUAGCUUUGGAAGAGAAAGCUGCCAAAGAGCCACUCAAUGAGGAGUUGGUGCAGUUUAAGACGAGCAAGCUAAGGAAGUCUAUCACGAAAGAAAGUAACCAUCGUCCUACUGCUGCAGAAAUUGAAGCAGAGAAGAAAGCCAUGCAAGCAGGGAAGAAGUAAAUGGGGGGACUCCUUUCAUGAUUCUUCUUGUUAAGACCUGCCUUGUUACCUGCUCUUCCUCCAUUUAGGAAUCCUAUCAGCAUAUCUGCCUAUGCCUGUGUUCUGUGUUAUUAAAUGGUGUUUGGGCUGAUGCUAUGGGGGAAAAUUCUGUCUGUAAUCCCAUGUAAAUUAAAGAAAUGGGUGUACUUUAUUGUGCUUUUCAUGCUGUUUAGAAAGGACUGAAUGGAGUAAUAAAACAAUAUGAUGGGGUCCCAGAUUGUUUUUGUUAUCAAAGGAGAAAAAUCAUGAGUUAUUGUAUUGAUGGAAAUCCAUGUAUUACAUUGUUAACAAUACAAUAAAUAUGCUUAUUUCCAUUCAGUGAACCUUUCAAAGAUUUGUUGCCAUGCAGGAAAUGUUCUAAUGACACAAUAUUUUUCUUUUAUAAUAAAAAUGGAUCUCAA